UACGAAGGGGGCUAGCGUUGCUCGGAAUCACUGGGCGUAAAGGGUGCGUAGGCGGGUCUUUAAGUCAGGGGUGAAAUCCUGGAGCUCAACUCCAGAACUGCCUUUGAUACUGAGGAUCUUGAGUACGGGGGAGGUGAGUGGAACUGCGAGUGUAGAGGUGAAAUUCGUAGAUAUUCGCAAGAACACCAGUGGCGAAGGCGGCUCACUGGCCCGUUACUGACGCUGAGGCACGAAAGCGUGGGGAGCAAACAGG
rnacentral:rRNA from 1 species